UACGUAGGGGGCAAGCGUUGUCCGGAAUUAUUGGGCGUAAAGAGCGUGUAGGCGGUCCGGUAAGUCAGCUGUGAAAGUCAAGGGCUCAACCCUUGAAUGCCGGUUGAUACUGUCGGGCUAGAGUCCGGAAGAGGCGAGUGGAAUUCCCGGUGUAGCGGUGAAAUGCGUAGAUAUCAGGAGGAACACCGGUGGCGAAGGCGGCUACCUGGACAGAAACUGACGCUGAGGCGCGAAAGCUAGGGGAGCAAACAGG
rnacentral:rRNA from 1 species